AUAUUAUUAAGCGGAGGAAAAGAAACUAACAAGGAUUCCCCUAGUAAUGGCGAAUGAACGGGGAAGAGCCCAGCACCGAAUCCCGCAGUGCCUCACUGUUGGGAGCUGUGGUGUUUAGGCAAGCCCUUCGGGCAUCUCGAGGCAGUCAAAGUCCCCUUGAGGGGGGCCAUGGCCCAUAGCGGGUGCAAGGCCCAUACGACGCUUCUUGGUGUUCGAGCGGAGCUGCCGUGGAGUCGGGUUGCUUGAGAGUGCAGCCCAAAGUGGGUGGUAAACCCCAUCUAAGGCUAAAUAUGGAUGAGACCGAUAGCGCACAAGUA
rnacentral:rRNA from 1 species